UACGUAGGGGGCAAGCGUUGUCCGGAUUUAUUGGGCGUAAAGAGCGUGUAGGCGGCCAUACAGGUCCGUUGUGAAAACUGGAGGCUUAACCUCCAGACGUCGAUGGAAACCGUAUGGCUAGAGUCCGGAAGAGGAGAGUGGAAUUCCUGGUGUAGCGGUGGAAUGCGCAGAUAUCAGGAGGAACACCAAUGGCGAAGGCAGCUCUCUGGUACAUGAUUGACGCUGAGACGCGAAAGCGUGGGGAGCGAACAGG
rnacentral:rRNA from 1 species